AAAUUCAGUGAUCCUAUGCUGCCGAGAAAAGCCUCUAGUGAGUUCAUACACGGCCCGUACCCCAAACCGACACAGGUGAUCAGGUAGAGAAUACCAAGGCGAUCGAGAGAACUGUGGUUAAGGAACUCGGCAAAAUGCCCCCGUAACUUUGGGAGAAGGGGGACCAUGCCCGGUGAACAUCUUCACGGUGGGAGCUGGGUGUGGUCGCAGAGACCAGAGAGAAGCGACUGUUUACUAAAAACACAGGUCCGUGCGAAGACGUAAGUCGAUGUAUACGGACUGACGCCUGCCCGGUGCUGGAAGGUUAAGAGGACCGGUUAGCCGUAAGGCGAAGCUGAGAAUUUAAGCCCCAGUAAACGGCGGUGGUAACUAUAACCAUCCUAAGGUAGCGAAAUUCCUUGUCGGGUAAGUUCCGACCUGCACGAAUGGCGUAACGACUUCUCUGCUGUCUCGACCACAGACUCGGCGAAAUUGCACUACGAGUAAAGAUGCUCGUUACGCGCGGCAGGACGAAAAGACCCCGGGACCUUUACUAUAGCUUGGUAUUGGCGUUCGAUUCGGUUUGUGUAGGAUAGGUGGGAGACUGUGAAGCAUGCACGCCAGUGUGUGUGGAGUCGUUGUUGAAAUACCACUCUGAUCGUAUUGGACGUCUAACCUCGGCCCAUGAUCUGGGUUAGGGACAGUGCCUGGUGGGUAGUUUAACUGGGGCGGUUGCCUCCUAAAGAGUAACGGAGGCGCCCAAAGGUUCCCUCAGCCUGGAUGGCAAUCAGGUGUUGAGUGCAAGUGCACAAGGGAGCUUGACUGUGAGACUGACACGUCGAGCAGGGACGAAAGUCGGGACUAGUGAUCCGGCACCGGCAAGUGGAAGCGGUGUCGCUCAACGGAUAAAAGGUACCCCGGGGAUAACAGGCUGAUCUUCCCCAAGAGUCCAUAUCGACGGGAUGGUUUGGCACCUCGAUGUCGGCUCGUCGCAUCCUGGGGCUGGAGUAGGUCCCAAGGGUUGGGCUGUUCGCCCAUUAAAGCGGCACGCGAGCUGGGUUUAGAACGUCGUGAGACAGUUCGGUCUCUAUCCGCCGCGCGCGUAAGAAACUUGAGGAAGGCUGUCCCUAGUACGAGAGGACCGGGACGGACGAACCUCUGGUGUGCCAGUUGUUCCACCAGGAGCAUGGCUGGUUAGCUACGUUCGGAAGGGAUAACCGCUGAAAGCAUCUAAGCGGGAAGCCUGUUCCAAGAUGAGGUUUCUCACCACCUUGCGUGGUUAAGGCCCCCUACAGACCAUGGGGUUGAUAGGCCGGAACUGGAAGCGCAGCAAUGCGUGGAGGUGACCGGUACUAAUAGGCCGAGGGCUU
rnacentral:rRNA from 1 species